rnacentral:lncRNA from 1 species
CACAUGUUGAAAGUCAAAGAUUCUGUCUAUUCACUUAGAAAAUGAGAAGAGCAUAAAAUAUUCCCACACAUGUGUGUGUAUGGAUAAUGUACUAAUUUGUAUCCUUCACUGGCUAAAGCAUCCAGAGAGGUAAAUGAGCUUCUCUAGGGAAAUUAUAAGAAUAUAACCAGUCAGUAUAUAUACUAAAACCCCUUAACUUUGAACUGAUUUUUAGUGGGAAGAGAAUAGUAUUGCUUUAAAAGAAACUUGUUGUUCAUUUACAUACUACAAAUUGGAAAGUUAUUAAGUUUGAAAGUUACUUGUUUUGUAAACUUUAGGUUAUUGACAUCUGUAUCUAUGUGGCUCCAGGGCCCAGAAGUCUGAUAGGACCCCAAAGUUUUCCAUGCAUGGACACUAUAAAAAUUUUAGCUGUUUGAAAUAGUAAGUAAAUCCUAACUAGCCUAAAAUUGUCUGCCUAUGUUAUAGUUUGCAUCUCAGGUGUCCUCCAAAAGCUCUUGUGUUGAUGCUGUAAUGUUCAGAGGUGAAAUGAUUAGACUAUGAGAGCUAAUCAGUGCAUCCUAGUUUGAAUGGACUCACUUGGUGGUAACUGUAGGCAGUUGAGGCAGGCCUGAAGGAAGUGAGUCACUGGGGAUAUGCCCUGGAAGGGUUCAUCUUCCCUGAAACCCCUUCUCUCUCUCUGCUUUCUGGAUGCCAUGAAUGGAGCAGUGCUUCUCUACCACACCAUUCUGCCAUGAUCUUUGUCCUCACCUUGGGCCCAGAGCAAUGGAAUUGGCUGUUUUUAGACUAAGACCUCUGAAACCAUG